CCUACGGGCGGCAGCAGUGAGGAAUAUUGGUCAAUGGGCGUGAGCCUGAACCAGCCAAGUCGCGUGAAGGAUGACGGUUCUAUGGGUUGUAAACCUCUUUUAUAAGGGAAUAAAACGAGGCACGUGUCCCUUUUUGUAUGUACCUUAUGAAUAAGGAUCGGCUAACUCCGUGCCAGCAGCCGCGGUAAUACGGAGGAUCCGAGCGUUAUCCGGAUUUAUUGGGUUUAAAGAGUGCGUAGACGGGUUUUUAAGUCAGUUGUGAAAGUUUGUGGCUCAACCAUAAAAUUGCCGUUGAUACUGGUAGUCUUGAGUAUAGUUGAGGUAGGCGGAAUGCGUGGUGUAGCGGUGAAAUGCUUAGAUAUCACGAAGAACCCCGAUUGCGAAGGCAGCUUACUAAGCUGUGACUGACAUUGAUGCACGAAAGUGUGGGGAUCAAACAGGAUUAGAUACCCUUGUAGUC
rnacentral:rRNA from 1 species